rnacentral:misc_RNA from 1 species
CGUACAACAGAUAUUCAGUUGUUGCCAAAGUUGCUAGGGAUAUCCUUUCUAUUCUUAUUUCUAUUGUUGCAUCUGAGUCACUUUUAGUACAGGUGAUCGAAUUCUUGAUAGUUAUCGAAGUUCUUUUAUCUUCAAAUACGGUAAAAGCGCUUAUCUGCACUCAACAUUUGCUACGAUCGCCUUUUAAAGAGUGCAAGCUUGAAG